GACGUAGGGCGCGAGCGUUGUCCGGAUUUAUUGGGCGUGAAGAGCUCGUAGGCGGCUUGUCGCGUCGAAUGUGAAAACCUGCAGCUCAACUGCAGGCUUGAAUUCGAUACGGGCAGGCUCGAGUUCGGUAGGGGAGACUGGAAUUCCUGGUGUAGCGGUGAAAUGCGCAGAUAUCAGGAGGAACACCGGUGGCGAAGGCGGGUCUCUGGGCCGAUACUGACGCUGAGGAGCGAAAGCGUGGGGAGCGAACAGG
rnacentral:rRNA from 1 species